UGUCAACCCUGAUUAGAUCAUCCAAAUCGUGCUCAACUCAAACAGUUCUGUGACUCCUCACAAGGACUACCCUGGCCAAGGUUUUGCUAAAUUGAAAUAUGACUGUACACAGCUCCUAAACUGGAGUGGUCAAUCCCAUCUUGACACACGCACCGACAAGUCAAGUACUUGACUACACCUAGCAACCUUUCGUCAUUGAAUUAGAAAUUCAGGUAGUCCAGUGCCUAAGUGCAGCGAGUUGCUUGCAAGUCACCAUGGCGGUC
rnacentral:lncRNA from 1 species